rnacentral:tRNA from 1 species
AACAGUGUGGCCUAGUGGAUAGAGCACUGGCCUGGGAGUCCAGAAGACCCUGCGUUCUAAUCCCAGCUCUGCUG